rnacentral:rRNA from 1 species
UGCCAGCAGCCGCGGUAAGACGAAGGUGGCAACCGUUGUUCGGAAUCACUGGGCAUAAAGCGCACGUAGGCGGGAGUUUAAGUCGGGUGUGAAAUCCCUCGGCCCAACCGAGGAACUGCGCCCGAAACUGAAUUUCUUGAGGAUAGGAGGGGAGCAUGGAAUUCCUGGUGGAGCGGUGAAAUGCGUUGAUAUCAGGAGGAACACCGGCGGCGAAGGCGAUGCUCUGGCCUAUUUCUGACGCUGAGGUGCGAAAGCCAGGGGAGCAAACGGGAUUAGAUA